rnacentral:misc_RNA from 1 species
AUUUAAAAAUACCGUUGACAGCCAUUUUCAAAAUGUCCCCUACAGAUAAGUUGAGGACGGAAGAUCAUUGAAAGGAAAACAACAUUUUCUGUGUUAUUUUGAUCAAUCACUGAUCGUGUACAUUUUGCAUUUUUGUGCAUUCAAAUUGAAGUUAAUUUGAACUUAAAUUGUUUAUUAAAAAUUGAAUUGAAUUAAAAAAGUUAAAACAUAAAAAUGAUAAAUUUGUGGUUUUAUUGUCUGUAUUUGAAGUUAACUCGGUAUACGAUAAUAUAGACUUUCCUUUUUUUCACAUCCGAAAAUGUACCGAUAUUUUCUAUGACACAUUGUCAAUACAAGAAUAUAAUAUUUAUUCUGAAAUGAAUUAAAUCGGAUAUAUUUACUAUUUGAUAAAAUAUACGAUGUUACAUUUUUAUGCACUGUUGCGAUAUUUAAUACACGCAUGUAUGGCGAUGCUUUUUGUAUAAAGAUUAAUGGAAAUUAUUAUUUUGUAGAAAUAUGAAAUAUACAUUGAAAGAUAACUUUUAUAACAUAUAAGUAUUAUUAGAAGAUCUUGUAGGAAUAAUGUCUACAGUAAAACAAAAUUUAAAGAUUUGUUGUUUCUGUGGUCUUACAGAAGACAAUGAGUUUGAGUUUGGGAAAUUUUAUGAAUAUCAUGGUAUUGUUACACAUUAUUAUUGCUUGUUAUUAUCUUCGAACAUGGAACAAAAAGGUAAAGACAAUGAAGGUAUUUUAGGAUUUUUAUUAAGAGAUAUACAAAAAGAAUUGCGCAGAGGUAAAAGAUUGAUAUGCUCUUACUGUAAAAAAAAUGGUGCCACAUUAGGUUGUUGCAAUGCAAGAUGUAAACGGGUAUUUCAUUUUCCUUGUGGCUUAAGAGCUGGAACUCUUCAUCAAUUUUUUGGUGAAUUUAGAUCGUAUUGUAUAAAUCAUAGACCCAAACAGAAAUUUAGCGUGUAUGAAAAACAAUUAAUUAAAAAAAAUAUAGAUGCAAUAUGUUAUAUUUGUUAUGAUAAUGUAAACAUUAAGAAUUUAAUUGAAGUAUUAUGGGCACCUUGUUGUAAAAAAGAUGCUUGGUUUCAUAGAAAAUGUGUUCAGCAACUUGCUAGUAAUGCAGGUUAUUUCUUUAAGUGUCCACUAUGUAAUAAUAAAAAAGAAUUCCAAAAAGCAAUGCUAGAACAGGGUAUUUUUAUUCCAAGCCAGGAUGCAUCUUGGGAGCUUGAACCAAAUGCAUUUCAUGAACUUUUGUAUAGACACAACCGUUGUGAUGCUGCGACAUGUUUGUGUCCAAAAGGCAGAAACCACACGAGCAUAAAUGCAAAAUGGGAAUUAACAUUAUGCCGAACAUGUGGUUCUCAAGGAAUUCAUAUGGCAUGCGGUCAACUAAAAUGGGCCAAUCCUGUUUGGAACUGUGAUGAAUGUAUAUCUAUAUUAGAUAAAGUAAAUCAUUCGCCAAAGAAAGUAACAGAAACUAUAAAUAUUACUUAUCGUGGCAUGGACAUAGAUACCAGCGAUUCAGAAAUUUCUGUAGGUGAUUCACAAAAUAAGGAUGAUCUUUCUAUAGUGUCAUAUCCACCUACAUGUGCAACACCUCAAACUUUUGAACAAGAACUAACUAACAUUUCAACAAAGAUUAUAUCUGAAAAUAGCUGUAGUAGUUCUAAUCAAAAUAUGUUUACAAAAUCACCAGUAAAUUUACCAGAGAAAAGUACAAAUAUUGUAACUUUAAAUCGAUCAGAAGAUAAAAGUAUAUCACUAAUUAAUCAAAGUAAAACUAUAAUACAAACAGAUCAAGAAAAAGGACAAGCGGAUUCAGAAGAAACUACUAACAGAUUAUUAACAGAUGAAAAACAAAGUACAUUAAAAAAAAGUCAAGGUGAAAACUUACAAAGUAAAGAAGUAUCGAUUUCUUCGAAUAACAAGAUUGACUUAAUCAUGAUUGAUAGUGAUGAAGAUGAUAUUGAAAUUAUAAGUAAUUCAAAAGGAUUAAAUAUUGAAGAUCAAACUUUAAUGAAGAUAGAUCUUCCUAACUGUGAUAUAAAUACAAAAAAUAAUAAUUCAGAUCAGUUAAUAGAUAUUUCGUGUAGUUCAUCAGAUAUACCUGAAAAAUGUAAUAAUCAAACGAAAACAAAAAGAAAAACUUCAAAUAACUUAAAAGCAAGAAAAGAUUAUGAAAUUUUAACUAUAAAUAAUGUAAAAGAUGAUAUACUUUCAGAAAAUGAAAAUCAUAAGAACUUAGAUAACUCACCUGUUAUGAACAUCAAAAUUACUAAUGUAACAUCUUUAUCACCUGCAGUGUUUGCGAGUGUACCUACUCUGGAAAGUUUGGAUAAUCAUAAAUUAUUACAAUUAAAUACUAGUCCUUCAAUGAGUUUAAAUAAUUCUGAAAAUUUACAAACUGGAAAUACAACACUAUUAUCUCCGGAAUAUCAAUCUAAUAAAACAAAAGCAAGCUCAAAGAGAAAACUGGAAACAAAUAUAUGUGUAAUUGGUACUCAUACAAAUGGAAUAAAAUCUGUGACUAUAACUAAACCUAAAAAAAUAAGAACAAAUAAUUUAGAAGAAAAUAUGAAAGCUUCAUGUAGUACUACUACUUAUAAUGAAGUUAAGCAGCAAAUUGCUAACCAGAUUAAUAUGAAACCAUCACAAAAAUACGUUAACGAUAGAAGUUAUCACUUGGAUUUGGAAAUUCUUGAACAUAAAAAAAAUAAAAUUUCUUGCCAAAGUAACACUACAGAUAUAUUUCCUCCAAUGCUGGAAUUAUCAAAUCAUAAUAUAACAGAAAGCCAAAUUAAAAGUGCUCCUUUAUGGGCUCCUGAUGAAUCUACUAAUAAAGAUGUCGUUAUUACUCAUAUUCAAAAUAAUAGUACACAUCAGUCAUUGAAUACAGAACAAAAUUUCACUAAAAGAAAAACGAUGUCAUCUAAAAAUUCGGAUAGUUUUGAAAUUGAAAACGAAAUACCAUCUACUUUGAAACAGGCACCAGUUUUACCAGCGAGUCAACAGACGGCCGUAUCCGAAGAAAAGACGACCGGAUUAAUCCAAAAAGAAUAUCAGUUAAAAAAAAAGACUUAUUACAGUGUACUGAUUCCAGAAAAAAUACCUGCAAAAAAUAUUUCAACUUCAAUUCGUGCAGCGUGUUUUCCGAAAUCGCAAGUAACCCUAACGCCUGUGAUAAACCUAGAUUGAUACCAGAAUCCGUACAAUUACAAGAUCUUAAAUUUAAAGUCCAAGAUUCUAAUAACGUACAGAUGAUCUUAUAUGAUACGUUUUCUGUAAAUAUUCAUAUGAAUACUAUUAUGAAGAAUCAUGUAAAGAAUUCGGCCGCAUCUGUAGGAGUAUCGAACAUGAGACAUUCAUUAUUGGAAUUAGACGACGAAUCAACGAUUGA